GGGGACGCGCGGAUUCGACAGGGGAUGUUUUCGCAGGAUUGCAGGUCGGGGUUCCAUCAAACCCCGUUAAAAAGAUGGAAAUAAAAUUAACUGGCAAUAAACAGCUAGCACUAGCCGCUUAAUCGGCUACGUCCUCCAUUCCCGAUCCCCGAAGGUUGUGGAAGGGCGACAAUAGACGGGGUGCAGCCAGUUCAUGCAGAUAAAUCUGGCUAAAGAUAAUCUGCUAGUCUGUUUAAACGUUAGCUGAUCGAUGGUUAAACAGUCGAAAUUAAAGAUCAGAUAAGCCUGUAGUAUAUUCUAGUCGGAGUGUCUUCUGGACGGGGAGUUCGACCCUCCCCCGUCUCCACCA
rnacentral:tmRNA from 3 species